rfam:Clostridium perfringens str. 13 DNA, complete genome.
UUAAUCCUGAGAUGUACGCGAAGCUUAUUAAUUUUAACCUACAUGAGAAAUACGGGAUUUGCAAAACAGCUAAUGAAAUCGGGCUUCAAGUUUUACUUCACUUUUGUGACGGAAGAUGAUCGAGUUAGUUUGCGUAAAACCCACCUGCGAGAGGCAGGUAUAAAAUUGUAAGUGUGACGGCAUAUUUGGGAACAUU